UAAUACAGAGGUGGCAAGCGUUGUUCGGAAUUACUGGGCGUAAAGGGCGCGUAGGCGGUCUUGUCAGUCCCUUGUGAAAUCCCUCAGCUUAACUGGGGAACUGCGUGUGAUACUGGAUGGCUUGGAUUUGGGAGAGGGAUGCGGAAUUCCAGGUGUAGCGGUGAAAUGCGUAGAUAUCUGGAGGAACACCGGUGGCGAAGGCGGCAUCCUGGACCAAUAUUGACGCUGAGGAGCGAAAGCCAGGGGAGCAAACGGGAUUAGAUACCCCGGUAGUCCUGGCCCUAAACGAUGAAUGCUUGGUGUAGCGGGUAUCGAUCCCUGCUGUGCCGAAGCUAACGCAUUAAGCAUUCCGCCUGGGGAGUACGGUCGCAAGGCUG
rnacentral:rRNA from 1 species